AGAACCGAUCAAUCUCAGCCUUCAAUACAACCAGUGAUUUGGCCUCCGCAACCCUCCAUGCCAAUGGAUUCUAUAGAUUAUUGACCCCAUGCUUGAAGAAAUUUUCUCUUAUCACAAUUCUAAACGAAUGUCCCUUUACUGUGAGGCUGUGUCCUCAGAUGUUAGAAUCUCCUAUUAAUGGAAACAUCCUCUCAACAACCACUCUAUUCAGAACUUACAGAAUCUGGUAAGUUUCUAUGAGAUCACUUAUCUUUCUGAACCCCAGCGAGUACAGGCCCAGAGCCAUCAAACAGUCUUUCAUUCCAGGAUUAUUCUUGAGGACCUCUCCUGGACCCUCUCCAGGGCCAGCACAUUCUUCUUUAGACAAGGGGUCCAAAAUUGCUUACAAAAUUACAAAUAUAGUCUGACCAAUGCCUUAUAAAGCCUAACAAUAUAUACUUGUUUUUAUAUACUUGUCGUUUCAAAGUGAAUGUCAAUAAUACAGUUGCCUCUGUAAGUUAAACUUAAAUGUUUCUGAAUUUUAGGGACUUUCACAAUACCUCACAAUCCUUGAUAAGUUUGCCAGCUGUCAAAAUAUUUGGGCCAUUUGAUGGAUGGGUCUUAUUCCAGUUAACCAUGGUCACAAUGUUGUGGCAUAAGGCUUUGCAACGAAGAGCUUACAAUGAAGGCAACAUUGGGAGAUGUGUAGAAGGGCAGUACAAAGAUUGUUUGCAUCUCAGCACUGUGUGAGAGUGGCUUAAUACUGACAGCAGGUUCCAGUUUAUUAACACAAGAGAUUCUGCAGAUGCUGGAAAUUCAGAACAAAGCAUACAAAAUGCUGGAGGAACUCAGCAGGUCAGGCAGCAUCUACAGAAAUGAAUAAACAGUUAAUGUUUCAGGCCAAGACACUUUAUCAGGACUGAAAAGGAAGGUGGAUGUAGCUAGGUGAUGAAGGUAGGGGUAGGGGGUAGGACUACAGGCUAGAAGAUGAUAGGUGAAGCCAGGUGGGUGGAGGAGAGGGGUGAACUAAGAAAGGUAAAGGACUGGAUAAGAAGAAAUCUGAAGGGAGAGGAGAUUGGAACAUGGGAGAAAGAGAAGUAGAAAGAGUACCGGGGAGGUGAUGGGCAGCCAGUUUCACUGUGUAAAAAUGCUUUCUUUCAUGUCACUUUUGGUGCUUUUGCCAAUUACCUUAAUUCUGUGCACCCUGUACAUUAAUCCCUCUGACAAUAUGAAUAACUUUUCUCUCUCUACUCCGUCCUUCAUAACGUUAAACAUCUUUAUGAUUUCCUCACAAUCUUUUCCAUCAGCUUCUUUAGUCUAUUUCCAGGAUGAAAAUCCUCUUCCUAGGCAUCAUUCUUUUGCACCCCCUUGAUACUUGAACAAUGAAAUUGGCUUUUCCAAAUAUCUGCAACCUAAUUGGAAAUCUACUCCAUUAUAUUUUCCAGAACUUGGUAGACCCAUGGAAUAAUUAGUCUCUGUAGUAUAAACCUACCUCUUUGCUUUCUUACUUUUAAACAGAUAGAUUCUGUGUUCUUGAUAUUUCAGGGCCUCUUUCUGCUAAGCUGUAGAAUAAUCUCCUUUCUCUUCUAAGCACUUUAUAUUCAGGAAUAUUUAGAGCUAAAUCCUGUACAUGUUUUCAGCCAGUUCUGUGUUAUUGAAAAACAUUACAUUUGCACAUGGUUAAUUGUGACUGUAGUUCACCACCAAUUCUUGAUCUUUUCUGAACCAACCCGACAGCCUUGUGUACUCUGACUCUGUUCAAUGUGAAUUACUUUCCGAACUUCCCAGACAACUCACUUUUGGGAUAACUGUUCUUGCCAUUCCUUCAAAAAACAUUGUCCCUGAGCAUCAUCAAGGUAGAUCCAUGGACACAUACCAGAGUUUCUUGUUUGUCAUUAGUUACAAUACUUGCCCGCAGAAAAAAAAUCUCAGGGUUGUAUGUGGUGACAUGCACGUACUCUGAUAAUAUAUUUGACUUUGAACUUUAAACUUUAUUUUACCACAUUGACCAAGGAGUAGAUGGCAGAUGGUUCAUAGUACAAGCAAUGGAUUGAGGGCAAACAUCUCCAUUUAAUAUAUCACUAAAGCGGAACUAUCUGAUGUCGCAGAGACUUAGCAAAGCCACACACUGGCAGCUCAAAAGGGUUACAAAGGAUUACUGACAUUUACUGAACAGAAAGCUGCCAAGAUUGACAACAUUACUGAAUAUUGCCUUCCAUAAGAGCUUGAUAGCUACUGCCUUGUUUUUGAAAUGCCCUGUAUGACAAAAGUAAUGGCAAUAUCAAAAUGGAAAGAAAGUAGAAAAAUAAACACUCAACAAAGUAUUAUUUUACAAUUUUGGAAAAAAAAUAUAAAUAAUUUUAUCCUUUUAUUAAGUAGUCGUUAGUUCGAGUUGUCAGCUCUUUGUUCCUUGUUCCAUAAUUAGAUGCAGGCAUCACGGGCUAGACUUGCAUUUACUGUAUUUCUGAAUUUAUACCAGAUGCCAGCUCAUUUCAGAGGUCAGUUAAGUCAACCAUACUGGCAAAUGUAGAGACACAUAUGGUCAGAUCUUGUCUCUGAGGAACAUUAGUGAGAGAUUAUUUUUUAUGAUUAUAUAGCAAUGGUAUUAUCAUUACUCACCAUUAUCAAUACUAGCUUCCUUUUGCAGAUUUAUUUAAUUAACUGAAUUUUAAUCCUCUAGCUGCCAAGGUAGUAUUGAAAUUUAUGCCUCAGGAAUGUUCAUCUAGGUGUUCAGAUAAAAGUACAGUAAAUUAGCUACUUUAUUAUUAUUUCCCAUGUUUGAUAAGGACACAGUGAAUAAUAUUAUGGUAGGAUCCCUGUGGACUUUUGUAAUGGGUGAGUAGUGAGGGCAUAGAAAUAUCAUCGACAGCAGUUCCUCCACUUCUCCACAAGCCAUUAAGCUUUCUAUGGUUUGCUGUAAAAUUACCACAGAAAGUGAUUCUCUGGAAAUUAUUAACAUACUUCAGAUGGUGGCAGGAACAUGAGCAGGAUUGGUGGGAGCAUGGGGAUAGGGAUCUGAUGGAGGAUGCCUCACUAUCUUACUGUUUCUAGCUCGAGAUUCUUGGCUGUUUAGGGGCUAUUGUUUCCCCAUGAAAAUUAGUUACAAAUAUCACAAGUAAUUUUUAUUAUUGAGUUUUGAAAUACCAACAAUACAUUUUCUGAUUUUCACAUUGUAGAAACGCUCAAAGCUAUCAAAAUAUUUUAUUUUAAUUUGAAUAGAUUGGAAUCAAAGAAGGAAUUAGGUGAUCACUAAAAUUAAAAAUAAGGAUCUUCUUUAUUUUUAUAACAGGGCAAAAUAUAAAGCCUUGUAUUAUUAUUUGCAUUUUAUCUUAUGAAACAAAUGCAAAAAUUUGGUAACUCUGGCAGUGUUACUGAGGAGGGAGUUUCAGGAUUUAGACCAGGUAGUGGUAAAAAAUGGUGGCAUACUUCCAAGCCAUGAUAAUGUAGGAUUCGGAGGGGAACCUGCAGAUGUUUGUGUGCUAACAGGUGCUCAAAGUUCAUGUGCUUCUUUGUGUCAGAGGUAGUAAGUUUAGAAAAGACAGUUGAAAUAGCUUUGGAGAGUAACUGCAUCUUGCCUUCUAACUAGACACAUAACAACUUUUCUGACUCCGAACAGAUUACAGCAGUUUCAGAUGAUCAGCAGUUCAUAUCUUGCAUUUUGCAGAUGAAACACAAUGUGGGCACAGUCACAGGUUAUGGAAUAUAUAUAUUAAAUUAUAUAUAUUAUAUAUAUUAUGGAUCUUAUUGAAACGUAUAAAAUUCUAAAGGGAUUGGACAGGCUAGAUGCAGGAAGAUUGUUUCCGAUGUUGGGGAAGUCCAGAACGAGGGGCCACAGUUUAAGGUUAAAGGGGAAGCCUUUUAGGACCGAGAUGAGGAAAAACUUCUUCACACAGAGAGUGGUGAAUCUGUGGAAUUCUCUGCCACAGGAAACAGUUGAGGUCGGUUCAUUGGCUAUAUUUAAGAGGAUGUUAGAUAUGGCCCUUGUGGCUAAAGGGAUCGGGGGUAUGGAGAGAAAGCAGGUACAGGGUUCUGAGUUGGAUGAUCAGCCAUGAUCAUACUGAAUGGCGGUGUAGGCUCGAAGGGCCGAAUGGUCUACUCCUGCACCUAUUUUCUCUGUUUCUCUCUGUUUCUAUUACAUAACAGAUGAAUCUUUAAAGUGGUGGCUGAGGAGCAAUCGUCUGGAGCUGCUUUGCAAGAGAUGAAGUCAAGGUUCCUGUGUGCUGUUGGACCAGCACUCAUCAUGCAGGUGAUUGGCAAAAGGACAGUGGCACAAAGAGGAAACAUUUUUAACAUCAAAGGUGUCCUCCUUCUUCAAAGAUUGGUGUUUCCUUGCCUCCACCAUUGAUGCUGCCCUAACCCACAUCUCCAUUUCUCAGACAUGUAUGCUCACUCUGUCUUUCUACUGCCCUCCAGGGAUAGAGUUCCUCUAGUCUUCACCUACUACCUCAUGACCCUCAGCAUCCAACACAUCAUUCUCUGCAACUUCCACCAUCUUCAACAGGAUCCUACUACUAAACACACCUUAGACUACCCCCACACUCCCUGCUUAUCACAACAACACUUCCUCUGUGAUUCUCUUAUCCAUUCAACCCUCUCCACUAAUCACCCUCCAAGCAACAGAAAUACUACGCCCGCCCAUUCACCUCCUUCCUCACUUCCAUUCGGGCUUCCAGGUAAGGCAACACUUUGCCUGCGAAUCAGAUGGAAUUGUCUAUUGUAUCCGAUGAUCCCAAUGCAGCCUUCUCUACAUUGGUGAGAAUCAUUAUAAAUUGGGGACCGCUUUGUCGAGCACCUCCACUCCAUCCGCCGAAAGCAGAAUUUCCCGCUGGCUACCCUCAGGGUGGAGGAGCAAACCUUCAUAUUCCACUUAGGAAGUCUUCAACCAACGAACUUUGAUUUCUCCUUCCGGUAAGUUUUGUUUCUUUCCCCUCCACUUUCCCUCUUCUUCUAUUCCCCACUCUGGCCUCUUACCUGUUCUCCUCACCUGCCUAUCACCUGCCCUAGAGCCCCUCCUUCUUCCUUUUCUCCCAUGGUCCACUGUCUCUCCUAUCAGAUUCCUUCUUCUCCAGCCCUUUACCUUUCCCACCAUCCUGGCUUCACAUACUGCCUUCUAGCUUGUCCUCCUUCCCCUCCCCUCAUCUUUCCCCUUCCUUUCCAUUCAUGAUCCUUGGCUCAAAAUGUCAAUGGCUUGUUCAUUUCCAUAGAUGCUGCCUGACCUGCUGAGUUUUUCCAGCAUUUUGUGUGUGUUGCUCUGCAUUUCCAGCAUUUGCAGAAUCUUUUGUGUUUAACUCAAUGAGUUGCUAUGCCUUGUCUGACAGGUUAGUGAAAGUACACUCAAUAGCGAUAUUUAAAAAGUGGAUAAAUACUGGAAGAGAAAUUUUUGAAGAAAAUUGGGAAGACCAAAGAAAUGGAAUGGAUUGGAUAUCUUUACAGAAGAGUCAGCACAGGUUAAUGCAAAUCGGUGCCACAAGGAGCAGUAAGAAGGAAAAAGAUGAUAAAGCAAAGCAGGCUACUCUAAGCCUCACCUCCUAAUUCCAGAACUGAUUAUAGGGAUCAGCUGAUGUUUCCAGCUGAACUCAAAAAUGAAGAUAUUGAUGAAGAAUUGCAAGUAACAUUGGGAUUUCCAUGCAUGGGCAGGUUUGGCUGUAGCUUCAAAGCUGCUGCUUGUCAAUCAUUCAUUCUUCACAAGUUACACCACUGUGUGACCUUCUCUUCUGUAACCAAGGUUAAUCAGUUCAAUUGAUGAACUUUACUGGUCUGCUGUACUAAUAUGAUUGUGUUCAACAAACAUGGCCCUGCAUUCCAAACCAAUUCAGCUUAUAAAUGAGGGUGCAACUUUAAUCACUCCUGACAUACAUUGUUCUGAUGCAUACCUGGAGAUACU